rnacentral:rRNA from 1 species
CCAAUAGCGUAUAUUAAAGUUGUUGCAGUUAAAAAGCUCGUAGUUGAAUUUCGGGAUCAUCAGGUUGGUCGUGCCUUUGGUAUGUACUUUCCUCGAUGAUUCCUCCUUCUUGAAGAUCCGUAAUGUCAUUAAUUUGGUGUUGCGGGGAAUCAGGACUGUUACUUUGAAAAAAUUAGAGUGUUUAAAGCAGGCAAUCGCUUGAAUACAUUAGCAUGGAAUGAUGAAAUAGGACGUUCGAUCCUAUUUUGUUGGUUUCUAGGAUUGACGUAAUGAUUAAUAGGGAUAGUUGGGGGCAUUAGUAUUCAAUUGUCAGAGGUGAAAUUCUUGGAUUUAUUGAAGACUAACUACUGCGAAAGCAUUUGCCAAGGAUGUUUUCAUUAAUCAAGAACGAAAGUUAGGGGAUCGAAGACGAUCAGAUACCGUCGUAGUCUUAACCAUAAACUAUGCCGACUAGGGAUCGGAUGAUGUUAAUUUUUUAAUGACUCAUUCGGCGCCUUACG